rnacentral:rRNA from 1 species
UACAUGGGGUGCAAACGUUGCUCGGAAUUAUUGGGCGUAAAGCGCACGUAGGCGGUUCGUUAAGUCGGAUGUGAAAGCCCUCGGCUCAACUGAGGAAGUGCACCCGAAACUGGCGAGCUUGAGUACGAAAAGAGGAUCGCGGAAUUCCCGGUGUAGAGGUGAAAUUCGUAGAUAUCGGGAGGAACACCGGUGGCGAAGGCGGCGAUCUGGGUCGAUACUGACGCUGAGGUGCGAAAAGCGUGGGGGAGCAAACAGG